rnacentral:misc_RNA from 1 species
GCCAUCGGAGUCAGAUUUUCGUGACCAUAGUUUUAUCAAUAAUUAUUUUUAUCCAGACAUACACAUAUUUAUAGUAUUUAAAAGAUAUUUUAAAGAUUAAGUGGAAUUAUAUCCUGACAUCCGGCCUUUAUUUUCCGAAGUUAGGUAGUAAUCUAUUUUACUAUUCCAGGAAUGAUUUAAAUUGAGAAAAUAAGGAAACAACAACAUAAGUGCCUCAUAAUGAACGUAUGUUCAGAUAUUGAUGACCUCUUACCAGUUAAAUAGAAACCACAAUGAUAAAGGCGCAUUUCAACAAAUACGUGUUUUAAAGACCGAUGCGAUUAAAGUCACCGUGGUGUCGUACUUUUCAAUAUUUACUAUCUAGGACUAUUACAUAGUGAUACCGACUCAGAUUCACAAUUGCUAUCGUUUACAGGCUUUGACUAAGCAAAGGGUCUUAUCAGAGCUGUUAAGUGGUCGCGUACAGAUAAAGUUGACCUACCCUUAAAUGUAUUAGAUAGAGAGGAAUGUUUGUAUCUAUAUAUCAGGCAAUAAGAUGAAAAGCCUCAUUCAUUUUGUGUGUAUUCUACUAUUUGCUGUAUUGACAUUUCAGAUAGUUAUCAAGGCGUUUCAUAGUUGGUCGGGUAUGGUGUAAUAGUUGAUCAAAGGAAUACUAGAACAUUUAGCAUUUUAAACCCAUUUCUAACGAGGAUAUACAAGACUGAGAAAAUGCUCUUUCGUCGGAGACUGACACGUGGCCGGAAAGACUGGGCUCUGGGAUCAAUAUGUCUUGUUGUGGCGGUGACUUCAGCUAUAAUGUUUCUACAGACACUCAACACAACCCCUUUUGUUCGAACAAUAUCCCUGGACGACAAAGCAAAAUAUUUGCAAAGUGUUAAUAUCAUAGUGUCUGAUGAUCAUUUAAAAUAUUCACACGGAAAUGGUACCGUGAAAAGAACUUCCAACGGAUAUCAGACUAAACCAGUCAAAACAAGUGGCAUCCCGUCUGUUUACACAACUAGUAAAUUGAAAAUCUCAGCAACUUUACAACCAAGUGAUGCAAAUAUGCGUAAUUUUAUCAUACCGAGGUUCAUUAUUGGUAAUAAAUCGAAAUGUGACAACAGAACUGAAAUCUUGGUUUAUUUCCAAAGUAAAUGGUCUAAUUUCAUGAAAAGGAGGACUUUAAGAAAUAGCUGGGCAUCCAGCAUGGCAUAUACAGAUAUCAAAAGGGAAGUCAAGUUUGUUUUUAUUCUCGGAAAGCCAACGGAUGUUAACGAUCAAGUUAAGAUAAACAACGAGCAGUUAUUGCACGGUGAUAUAAUUGAAGGAGAUUUUAUUGACAGUUUCCAUAAUCUAACUUUAAAGAGUGUAACUGCUAUGGCCUUUAUUGAGGAGAACUGCAAACAUGUGAAGUACGUCAUAAAAGCCGACGACGAUAUGUUUAUGAAUUUGUUCGCAGUUAUGCAAAAGGUAUUACCAGCUAUGAACGCAGACAAAAGUGUUAUCGCGUGCCAUGUUAUCGAAGGUGGAAAAAGUCCAAUAGUAAGAGAUAAAAAUUCUAAAUGGUAUAUACCGCCAGAGGUUUUUACAAAUCACACCCAUUUGCCCCAGUUUUGUUCUGGUUAUGUGGUGAUAAUGACAUCUAAAGUAGUUGGUGAACUCUUUAAGAAAGCUAGAGUAACGCCGCUGAUAAACGUAGAUGACGUGUAUAUGUUCGGUCAGCUCACUCAAGAUAUUCAAGAGAUAAAGUUUGUCAACAUUAAACAAAAUCUUACUCUAUUGCAAGAUAACGGAUUGAAUACAUACAGGAAAGGCAAAAGUGAUUUGAUAGCAGUUAAUGUGCAAUAUUCGUCAGCUAUGGAGGAAUUGUGGUCUUUGACCUUAAUCGAAUCUUAUUCGUCGAAAAUAUAGGUGUGACGUCAUGUCACACCUUAAGAUGGAAUUUUUGCGACUGACGAAAUUGUAUAUAGAUGUUGCAAAUGGACCUUUAAAGAUGACGUCAGUAAGAUCGGCGCGUAUUACAGCUAUUCGGCUAUGUUUUAAUCUUUUCCGAGGUGAGGUCAACUGUAUCUCAGCAAUAUGCUUCUUAGUACUUGUCUUCGUUUUC